rnacentral:tRNA from 1 species
GGGCCCUUAGCUCAGCUGGUAGAGCAACUGACUCUUAAUCAGUAGGUUGUCGGUUCGAGCCCGACAGGGCCCACCA